AGUUGAGCGCUGAAGGUUGGUACUUGUACCGACUGGAUGAGCAGCGAACGGGUGAGUAACGCGUGGGGAAUCUGCCUUUGAGCGGGGGACAACAUUUGGAAACGAAUGCUAAUACCGCAUAAAAACUUUAAACACAAGUUUUAAGUUUGAAAGAUGCAAUUGCAUCACUCAAAGAUGAUCCCGCGUUGUAUUAGCUAGUUGGUGAGGUAAAGGCUCACCAAGGCGAUGAUACAUAGCCGACCUGAGAGGGUGAUCGGCCACAUUGGGACUGAGACACGGCCCAAACUCCUACGGGAGGCAGCAGUAGGGAAUCUUCGGCAAUGGACGAAAGUCUGACCGAGCAACGCCGCGUGAGUGAAGAAGGUUUUCGGAUCGUAAAACUCUGUUGGUAGAGAAGAACGUUGGUGAGAGUGGAAAGCUCAUCAAGUGACGGUAACUACCCAGAAAGGGACGGCUAACUACGUGCCAGCAGCCGCGGUAAUACGUAGGUCCCGAGCGUUGUCCGGAUUUAUUGGGCGUAAAGCGAGCGCAGGUGGUUUAUUAAGUCUGGUGUAAAAGGCAGUGGCUCAACCAUUGUAUGCAUUGGAAACUGGUAGACUUGAGUGCAGGAGAGGAGAGUGGAAUUCCAUGUGUAGCGGUGAAAUGCGUAGAUAUAUGGAGGAACACC
rnacentral:rRNA from 1 species